GACAGCUCAGUUAACCUAAUGUUUAGCUGUUUAUGACCCAGUAGACAGCUCAGUUAACCUAAUGUUUAUGACCCAGAAGACAGCUCAGUUAACUUAAUGUUUAGCUGUUCAUGGACAGCUCAAAUUCAGCUCAAAAUUCAGCAUAAAACCCCAAAGAGCCAGCAAUGCAGAGGCAGAAGCACAGUGGCUAGGAAAAACUCCUUGGAAGACAGCUCCCCCUAGAGGUAGUAUUGGGACUAACAGAGUAGAGAUGUGUGUGUUCGUACUCCUCUUUGCAGGUCAACCAGAUGCUCCAAAACUUUCACCUGGAUGUGGCCGGUAACCUUGACUACAAGAACCUGUGUUACAUCAUCACCCACGGAGAGGACAAGGAGAAUAAGAGGGCGCACGUAGAGAUAGAGGACUAGAUGGAUAUGACCUUUUUUAACAUUGGCAUUUCUAUUGAGGGAUUCCACCAAGAUGAGUCGUCUAUCUAUCUCUAUAGCGGGGUGCUGUCAGGGAAAGGAGCAAGAAGUUGAAUGGAGGAGGGAAGGGAUGAGGGGGGAUUUUGUAAAUAGCCUAUAACCAGAUAACGACACUACUAGUCACCCUAGGCAGACCGGUUGCCUCCUACAUUGACAAAGUUCCGACAUACACUAGGUCUGGGAUUUCCUAGACUACUGUACUACUACAACAGAGCUAGUGACUAGUGGGUUAUAACAACAGUGACUAGGGAGUUAAAACAACAGUGACUAGGGGGUUAUAACAACAGUGACUAGGGGGUUAUAACAACAGUGACUAGGGGGUUAUGACAACAGUGACUAGGGGGUUAUAACAACAGUGACUAGGGGUUUAUAACAACAGUGACUAGGGGGUCAUAACAACAGUGACUAGGGGUUUAUAACAACAGUGACUAUUGGUUUAUAACAACAGUGACUAGGAGUUAUAUCAACAGGUAGUGACUAGGGAGUUAUAACAACAGGUAGUAACUAGGGGUUAUAACAACAGUGACGAGGGGAAAAUAACAACAGGUAGUGGCUAGGGGUUAUAACAACAGAUAGUGGCUAGGGGUUAUAACAACAGAUAGUGACUAGGGGUUUAUAACAACAGGUAGUGGCUAGGGGGUUAUAACAACAGUGACUAGGGGUUUAUAAGAACAGGUAGUGGCUAGGGGGUUAUAACAACAGGUAGUGGCUAGGGGGUUAUAACAACAGGUAGUGACUAGGGGUUUAUAACAACAGGUAGUGACUAGGGGUUUAUAAGAACAGGUAGUGGCUAGGGGGUUAUAACAACAUUGACUAGGGGAAAAUAACAACAGGGGGUUUAGAACUGAUGUCCAAAAUGUAAGGGGUUCUGCAAUGUCCAGCAAAGUUACCAAUAGUGUUGUGUGUGAAUUGCUAGAACAGUGACUAAGGGUGUUGAAAUUGAUUUUAUGAUGAUAAGACAUUGAUUAUCACAACACAAUUAUGGAAAGUAAUGUUCUGCAUUGAUGUCACCAGACUCUCUAUGUUAACAAAGGGAUUUUCAAUAGUCACAUCGGUAGAGUAGAGAGAGGAAAAAGGGGAAAGGUAUUUAUCGGGGUCAUAAACCUCCCCAAAUGGCCAACGUCCUGACACAUCACAGUAUGGAAAACCUCCCCCCUCUGAGGCCAACGUCCUGACACAACACAGUAUGGAAAACCUCCCCCCUCUGAGGCCAACGUCCUGACACAACACAGUAUGGAAAACCUCCCCC
ensembl:lncRNA